rnacentral:rRNA from 1 species
CUGCUAAUACCGCAUAACGUACGAAGAUCGCAUGGUCUUUGUACCAAAACUGAGGUGCUGAAAGAUGGGCUCACGUCCGAUUAGAUAGUUGGUGAGGUAACGGCUCACCAAGUCGACGAUCGGUAGCCGGACUGAGAGGUUGAACGGCCACAUUGGGACUGAGACACGGCCCAGACUCCUACGGGAGGCAGCAGUGGGGAAUAUUGCACAAUGGGCGAAAGCCUGAUGCAGCAACGCCGCGUGAGGGAAGACGGUCUUCGGAUUGUAAACCUCUGUCUUAAGUGAAGAAGACAGUGACGGUAGCUAAAGAGGAAGCCACGGCUAACUACGUGCCAGCAGCCGCGGUAAUACGUAGGUGGCAAGCGUUAUCCGGAAUUACUGGGUGUAAAGGGAGCGCAGGCGGGACUGCAAGUUGGAUGUGAAAUACCGCAGCUUAACUGCGGAGCUGCAUCCAAAACUGUAGUUCUUGAGUGAAGUAGAGGUAGGCGGAAUUCCGAGUGUAGCGGUGAAAUGCGUAGAUAUUCGGAGGAACACCGGUGGCGAAGGCGGCCUACUGGGCUUUUACUGACGCUGAGGCUCGAAAGUGUGGGGAGCAAACAGGAUUAGAUACCUUGGUAGUCCACAAAGUAAGCGAUGAUUGCUAGGUGUU